CCCACAGUACACGUCCAGAGAGGAGGCCAGCCUGCUUGUGACCUUGGCACCCCAAGACCUCUGUGGACCCCCCAGUCAAAGCCCCUUCCUCUCCCCACCUUUCACAGGACCUCAAAGAGGCCGAACGGAAACAGAGAUUCCAAUCCAGAAAACCAGGAACCAUUUGGAAAUGGGCAGUCACUAAACCCAGCUGGCGGAGGCCGUCUAUUCCUCUGUUCCCUCAGAGCUUGAAGGAACGAGCCAGGGGACAAAGUAAGCUGGUGGGAAACUUCUUGAAUGCAUUGUUUUCGCUGUAGACGAGUUUCCUUUUGUUUUUUUCUUUUUCUUCUUCUCUUUAAAUGAAGUGCUGCUUAGAACACCAACAUACCAAAGAGAUGAAAAUAGAGCUCCCCUGAUGGGAGAAGAAGGGGGCGGACUGGGACCCGCCCCAUGCACACCCACGUGGGCUCUGUGUCCCCUUGGGCAACCCCAGGCUCCUCGGAACCCACUGAGGGCCAGCAGGAAACGGGACCAUGAGGCCACUUGCUUGGGUCAAGAGCUCGUAACGGACAUGGCAGGCCUGGGAUGCAAGUGACUUGAGCGCCUAGGUGUCUACUGCUUACCACUAGGCCACCACCGGAGAUGUGGCCCCUUCUCCUAGCAUGAGGCUGGGGCGAAACCAAAGAAUUCCUGGCUCACCCUGACUCUUCACACACUGUUAAUGCACACGAAAUAAAUAUUUUAUCUCACCUA